AUCUUUCGGAUUACGAAGAGAAAUUCCUGAAUGAUCCAUAUGUUUUUCGUCAACUUGUGGGAGUCAAUUCCUAGAAUAAAAGCCUAUCCUUUUAUGUGUUUGGGAAUAGAAUCAAACUAAACCUGAACCAGCUUUGCCGCAUCCUUGGAGUACCAAACCACGGAAUUCUAUUCGCGUUCGUGGCCACGAUGUUACGCGUAUCACCACCAAACAAACCAUUCAGCCCUCUAACCGAGAUAGAAAGAAGUCACCGCAAAACUCGUUUUUUUACAAGAGGUAUGCGUAUUGAAUAAG
rnacentral:lncRNA from 1 species